rnacentral:rRNA from 1 species
GACGAACGCUGGCGGCGUGCUUAACACAUGCAAGUCGAACGGAAAGGCCCUGCUUUUGUGGGGUGCUCGAGUGGCGAACGGGUGAGUAACACGUGUGUAACCUGCCCUUGACUUUGUGAUAACUUCAGGAAACUGGGGCUAAUACCGGAUAUGAGCUCCUGCUGCAUGGUGGUGGUUGGAAAGUUUCGGCGGUGGGGGAUGGACUCGCGGCUUAUCAGCUUGUUUGUGGGGUAGUGGCUUACGAAGGCUUUGACGGGUAGCCGGCCUGAGAGGGUGACCGGCCACAUUGGGCCUGAGGUACGGACCAGACUCCUACGGGAGGCAGCAGUGGGGAAUAUUGCACAACGGGCGGAAGCCUGAUGAAGCAACGCCGCGUGCGGGAUGACGGCCUUCGGGUUGUAAACCGCUUUCGCAUGUGACGAAGAGUGAGUGACGGUAAUGGGUAAAGAAGCACCGGCUAACUACGUG